rnacentral:rRNA from 1 species
AGCAUAUAGUAAGCGGAGGACAAAAUAAACUAAACAGGAUCCCCAUAGUAAUGGCGAAUGAACAGGGAUGAGCUCAGCAUGGAAAUUGGGGCCUGUGGCUUUGACUUGUAAUCUUUUGAGGCAUUGCCAACAGAGGCGCAGAUGUAAGUCUCUUGGAAAAGAGCACCAGUGAAGGUGAGAGCCCUGCUUGCCAUUUGCAGCCCCCCUGUGCACGGUGUGCCUGCUAAGAGUCACGUUCCUUGGGAUUGGAGCGCAAAGUGGGUGGUAACUUUCAUCUGAAGCUAAACAAUGGUUCGGGACCGAUAGGAAACAAGUACCAUGAGGGAAAGGUGAAAAGGACUUUGGAAAGAGAGUUAAAAGUGCCUGAAAUUGCUGAAGGGGAAGCGAAUGGAACCAGUGGCGCUGGGUGAGAUUGUCGCAUGCCGCAGGGAUUGGUUGCUGCUUUGGCGUAAGUGAUCUGGCAAUGUUUGAACUGUGGUUGUGUGGUGUGUCUUGCCUUGUGUGUCAUUGUGGGCUUGUGCGUUAAGACAAUUCAAAUUGCAUGGUAGUAUGUUUCCGAACAUAUGAAUGUAGCUUGUUAUGUUAAUGCAUUGGCUCUUUGCUGUCUGUCUGGCCGUGCCGGUUGUCCUCAACUGCGGUUUUGGCAAUGCUGGCAUUUCGUUCUGCACAGAAUAUGACUAAAUGGUUCUAUUUGACCGCU